rnacentral:rRNA from 1 species
CCUACGGGCGGCAGCAGUGAGGAAUAUUGGUCAAUGGGCGCGAGCCUGAACCAGCCAAGUAGCGUGAAGGAUGACUGCCCUACGGGUUGUAAACUUCUUUUAUAAAGGAAUCAAGUGAGGCACGUGUGCCUUUUUGUAUUUACUUUAUGUUUAAGGAUCGGCUCACUCCGUGCCAACAGCCGCGGUAAUACGGAGGAUGCGAGCGUUAUCCGGUAUUAUUGGGUUUAAAGGGUGCGUAGGCGGAGUUUUACGUCAGCGGUAAAAUGUCCGGGCUCAACCCGGGCCGGCCGUUGAAACUGGGGAUCUGGAGUGGGCGAGAAGUAUGCGGAAUGCGAGGUGUAGCGGUGAAAUGCAUAGAUAUCACGCAGAACUCCGAUUGCGAAGGCAGCAGACCGGCGCCCGACUGACGCUGAGGCACGAAAGCGUGGGGAGCGAACAGGAUUAGAUACCCGUGUAGUC